rfam:Marchantia polymorpha subsp. polymorpha scaffold163, whole genome shotgun sequence.
GAUUCAAGUGAUGACUAAAUACUGCAACAAAAUGAAGGGUAAAGCCUUUUUGAUUACAGAUAUUUAAGUCUCUGAUGAAUC